UCUAACAGAACAUGAAAGUGAAACAAUCUAAACCAAACCUAAUAGUUUAAUUAAGAUUCAUACAGGAAAAGACAAGAAAUAUUGGUAUAGAAAACAUCAAGCAAACCAUUAAACCAAGCAAUGAACUCUAUACUUCAUUCAGAAUUAAUAGCCUCAACUGAAAUCAUUUCAUGUCCAUCUCCCUUUUUAGCAAAAACUUCAUCGAAUUUUAAACCAUUAAACCCAUUUCAAACCAAAAACUCUUAUCAUACUAACAAUCAGACCAAACAACAAGAUAAGGAGAAAGGAAAUGGACCUGAAAUCGCUUUGCAGUAUAUUCAAAUCUUCAAAAAUUACAGAGCGGCGAGAACUCGAACCAAAAGUUGCAAACAACAGAAGAAGCAAGAGUGAGGCGAGAACUGCGAGCUCGGACUACGGACGACAACUCAAAUCGGCACCUCAACUCAGCUAAAUUCCAUAGUGAUAACCAAAAUCCUAAAUCAGAAGGAGAAACAUAAUUUUUUUUUUCUUUUUCGUUUGUAUUUAUAUUUUUGAAAUUAAACUAAGUCAAAAAAUCUGAAAAAUUCCAAAUGAAGACAGAAGGAGAAUUUUUUUUCAACCCUAGCUUCUUUCCGAACCUUUUUUUUCUCCCUUUAUGUCCGAAAAUCCCAAAUAUAUAGCCCCUCUUGAAUCUUCUUCUCCUCUUCUCCAAGUAACGCCCAAAACUGUGUGGACCCCAAAACAAAAUCCGAAAAUCCCUUUUGACAAACAAAAAAAAAAAAUAGAAACUUUGGACAAAAAUCUUCAUCCAACGAUUCCCAUUCUUCCAAGAUU
rnacentral:lncRNA from 1 species